CGACAGGGGUGCCGGAAACGGCUGAGAUUAUACCCUUUUACCUGACACGGAUAAUACCGGCGUAGGGAGUGCGUAA
rnacentral:ncRNA from 1 species